rnacentral:rRNA from 1 species
GAUGAACGCUGGCGGCGUGCCUAAUACAUGCAAGUCGAGCGAACAGACGAGGAGCUUGCUCCUCUGACGUUAGCGGCGGACGGGUGAGUAACACGUGGAUAACCUACCUAUAAGACUGGGAUAACUUCGGGAAACCGGAGCUAAUACCGGAUAAUAUAUUGAACCGCAUGGUUCAAUAGUGAAAGACGGUUUUGCUGUCACUUAUAGAUGGAUCCGCGCCGCAUUAGCUAGUUGGUAAGGUAACGGCUUACCAAGGCGACGAUGCGUAGCCGACCUGAGAGGGUGAUCGGCCACACUGGAACUGAGACACGGUCCAGACUCCUACGGGAGGAAGCAGUAGGGAAUCUUCCGCAAAGGGCGAAAGCCUGACGGAGCAACGCCGCGUGAGUGAUGAAGGUCUUCGGAUCGUAAAACUCUGUUAUUAGGGAAGAACAAAUGUGUAAGUAACUAUGCACGUCUUGACGGUACCUAAUCAGAAAGCCACGGCUAACUACGUG